CCGAGCGGGACACAGCCGGGACACGGCGUACAGCCAACCGGGGAGAUCCCGCAGCCACACGAGACGGUGUCGGCUGAGGCAUCGCCGCACCUCUGCUCUUCCCAGGGCAGAGUCCCAGCCCCUCGGCGUUCCGUGGGAGAGCAGAGUUACUCACUCGUUACUCCUAAGAUAGCCUUCUGGUGAUACUUAGUCAUACGAACGAAAGAGGUGAUGACCAGUGAUGGUUGCAUUUAGUGCUAUUACAAGAACUUGAUACACACCUUGUUACGCUGCACUCCUUCCAAGUUACAUGGGGCCCACCAAAACCAUCAGAUUUAUAUUUUGAUUAAGUGGCCACCCAAGGAUCGAAGAGCUUGGCAUUAUCAGCCCAAUCCACUGGGCAAGUCCCAGAGGCGAUGGUGGCCCUCAGCAGCUGCACCGAUCGCAGAGCUGGCGAUGGCAAACCUCCACCAGGGCACUUCUCACUGGUCAUGACUUGGUAAACAAGAAUGGGCUGUAUUGACUUCUGCAUUAGAAGAACCAAAUCCUGAGCCUAGCAUGGACUCCUGUGUGUAAAUGAGUGCCUGAAAAGAAGAAGGAUUUGUGAAAAUUAAUAGAAAGCAGGACUGCAAGGGUCUGUCAUUGUUACUGCGUUCAGCCUCCUGCCCUCAGACACGAUCCGCUCUCCCAUGGGAAUAUUUGUGGGAGUUUUAAGGGAGCUUUUUGGUUUUGAUUGAUUUUGAUUCCCUGCUUUCUCUACAGACUGUAUUUAUAUCAAAUGUAAGUUUAUAGUGUAAUUGACUUUCUCAUUUAAGUAAUCAGCUCCCAUCUGAAUCUGCUGGGUUUGGCAAGGCUGGAAGUUGGGGUACAGUGGUGUAUGAGAACUGAGAAGAGUAUCUGGGCUCCAGUACUGGUGAAUCUACCUCUUUAGAAUUUAUUGCCACAAAUAAUUUAGGAAAACAAAUAUGACUUAUUUAAAUGGUUUGUUUUUCAUGGUAGAACUGUGUCUUGAACUUACACAAAAUAGGAUCUGCUCUUAUUUAAAAAAUUGACGUGUUUUAAUUCUCACUUCAAGAUUUUAGAGAUAGUUAUGAGGGCUAACGUGGGGUAGCUUGUCUCCAGUGGCUGCUUCUGAGGAAGAAUCUGCACAUUUAGACUGACAUUAGCCUUUGGGAAUUGUCCUCUAAUAGUUCCCCAGGAACUACAAAAGAAAGAGGUAUUUGAUGUCACUGCAUGUUUCAGGCUCUUCAUUUUGACAUUAGCCAGAUGCUAUAUUCCAGUCAUGUAUUUCUGUGUAAACUGGUUUUAUUUAAACAAAUCUGCCAAACUCUUUAAAGGUUUCCCUGGUGGCAGAAAGUGAGCACAGGUAUUUAUUUAGCCUUCACCCCAUGACCUUCAUGUAGAGGUGGGUUAUGUCUCUAUAAAUGUGGAAAUAAGCAAAGGAGUGUUGGACAUUUUACCUCCUUGAUUGGAAGGACAUCCUG
rnacentral:lncRNA from 1 species